rnacentral:lncRNA from 1 species
UUGAAGAAAAAAUUUAUCCGAUCGCAUCGGAUAUCAAAAAGAUAGAAUAGAUUAGCAAUUAAAAUUUUUAUAAUACUUAUAAAUUCUCAUUUUGAUUCAUAGUGGCAAAAAAUCAAGGUUGAAGAAGCUCCUCGAUCAAUAUACUUCGCAAGAUAUGGAUGCACGGAUCCUCUACUUUGCAUGCAUGCCAAACACUGUAGGAGAGAGAGAUGAACUGUUUCUUCAGAGAGAAAAGAGAGGAACACUUAAGAUCUAAUCUCAAGUCUUUAGAAUAGCCCACACACUGCCAC